rnacentral:rRNA from 1 species
AGAGUUUGAUCCUGGCUCAGGAUGAACGCUAGCUACAGGCUUAACACAUGCAAGUCGAGGGGCAGCAUGGAAGAAGCUUGCUUCUUCUGAUGGCGACCGGCGCACGGGUGCGUAACGCGUAUCAAACCUGCCUCAUACUCGGGGAUAGCCUUGCGAAAGUAAGAUUAAUACCCGAUGUUGUUGCUUUCUCGCAUGGGAGAGUAACCAAAGAUUUAUCGGUAUGAGAUGGUGAUGCGUCCGAUUAGGUAGUAGGCGGGGUAACGGCCCACCUAGCCUUCGAUCGGUAGGGGUUCUGAGAGGAAGGUCCCCCACACUGGAACUGAGACACGGUCCAGACUCCUACGGGAGGCAGCAGUGAGGAAUAUUGGUCAAUGGGCGAGAGCCUGAACCAGCCAAGUAGCGUGCAGGAUGACGGCCCUAUGGGUUGUAAACUGCUUUUAUGUGGGGAUAAAGUGAGCUACGUGUAGUUUAUUGCAGGUACCACAUGAAUAAGGACCGGCUAAUUCCGUGCCAGCAGCCGCGGUAAUACGGAAGGUCCAGGCGUUAUCCGGAUUUAUUGGGUUUAAAGGGAGCGUAGGCGGAUUGUUAAGUCAGCGGUUAAAGGGUGUGGCUCAACCAUGCAUUGCCGUUGAAACUGGCGAUCUUGAGUGCAGACAGGGAUGCCGGAAUUCGUGGUGUAGCGGUGAAAUGCUUAGAUAUCACGAAGAACUCCGAUCGCGAAGGCAGGUGUCCGGGCUGCAACUGACGCUGAGGCUCGAAAGUGUGGGUAUCAAACAGGAUUAGAUACCCUGGUAGUCCACACAGUAAACGAUGUAUACUCGCGGUUUGCGAUAGACAGUAAGCCGCCAAGCGAAAGCAUUAAGUAUACCACCUGGGGAGUACGCCGGCAACGGUGAAACUCAAAGGAAUUGACGGGGGCCCG